GCGAGCUGGCGGCGUGCUUAACACAUGCAAGUCGUCCGAUGAAGCCCUUCGGGGUGGAUUAGUGGCGAACGGGUGAGUAACACGUGGGCAAUCUGCCCUUCACUCUGGGACAAGCCCUGGAAACGGGGUCUAAUACCGGAUAACACUCUGUCCCGCAUGGGACGGGGUUAAAAGCUCCGGCGGUGAAGGAUGAGCCCGCGGCCUAUCAGCUUGUUGGUGGGGUAAUGGCCUACCAAGGCGACGACGGGUAGCCGGCCUGAGAGGGCGACCGGCCACACUGGGACUGAGACACGGCCCAGACUCCUACGGGAGGCAGCAGUGGGGAAUAUUGCACAAUGGGCGAAAGCCUGAUGCAGCGACGCCGCGUGAGGGAUGACGGCCUUCGGGUUGUAAACCUCUUUCAGCAGGGAAGAAGCGAAAGUGACGGUACCUGCAGAAGAAGCGCCGGCUAACUACGUGCCAGCAGCCGCGGUAAUACGUAGGGCGCAAGCGUUGUCCGGAAUUAUUGGGCGUAAAGAGCUCGUAGGCGGCUUGUCACGUCGGAUGUGAAAGCCCGGGGCUUAACCCCGGGUCUGCAUUCGAUACGGGCUAGCUAGAGUGUGGUAGGGGAGAUCGGAAUUCCUGGUGUAGCGGUGAAAUGCGCAGAUAUCAGGAGGAACACCGGUGGCGAAGGCGGAUCUCUGGGCCAUUACUGACGCUGAGGAGCGAAAGCGUGGGGAGCGAACAGGAUUAGAUACCCUGGGUAGUCCACGCCGUAAACGUUGGGAACUAGGUGUUGGCGACAUUCCACGUCGUCGGUGCCGCAGCUAACGCAUU
rnacentral:rRNA from 1 species